ACUCCUACGGGAGGCAGCAGUGGGGGAAUAUUGCACAAUGGGCGCAAGCCUGAUGCAGCCAUGCCGCGUGUAUGAAGAAGGCCUUCGGGUUGUAAAGUACUUUCAGCAGUGAGGAAGGUGGAUAUGUUAAUAGCAUAUUCAUUUGACGUUAGCUGCAGAAGAAGCACCGGCUAACUCCGUGCCAGCAGCCGCGGUAAUACGGAGGGUGCGAGCGUUAAUCGGAAUUACUGGGCGUAAAGCGCAUGCAGGUGGUUUGUUAAGUCAGAUGUGAAAGCCCGGGGCUCAACCUCGGAAUUGCAUUUGAAACUGGCAAACUAGAGUACUGUAGAGGGGGGUAGAAUUUCAGGUGUAGCGGUGAAAUGCGUAGAGAUCUGAAGGAUACCGGUGGCGAAGGCGGCCCCCUGGACAGAUACUGACACUCAGAUGCGAAAGCGUGGGGAGCAAACAGGAUUAGAUACCCUGGUAGGCUCU
rnacentral:rRNA from 1 species